CUGGGCUACAACGAGCCUGCGCUGCAGGCCGCCUCGGCGUCUUCUUCUCCGGCUCUCUCCGCCGCCGUCUCGUCUCCGGCGCGCAUACGGCGGCGAGUCGCCCUGGCUGGCGGCGAUGGUGGGGGCAUCGGUGAUCGUCUCCGCCGCCCGCACGCCUCAUGCUCCGCCACCACGAGGCAUAUAUCGAGCGCGCAUUGCGAUUUUUCCUUUACCCUUCUGGGUUUUUGUUCUAGCUAGGCAAGGCAGCCGGCUAAUCACGCCGCCGAGAUCGCCGGAGCCCGGAGGCCGCCGCCCGCGUAGGCCCGUCUCCACCCAGCGUCUCAACUGGUCGACUCGGUGGUGAUGCUCCACCCCCCGCCUCUGCUUUCUCCUCCCCCGCUUUCAUCGAAGGGGACUCUUGCAAGCCCAAAAUCACCAACGUGAGCAACCAUUUCACUAUCUAGGAAAAUAUUGCUUGGCUUGAGAUCACAGUGAAUAAUUGGCAAUGGCCUAUGUUGGUGAAGAUAAUCAAGUGCAGAAACCACAUCAAUGGCAAAUGUCGAGCCUUUUGAUGAUAUUUAAAACCUUGUCUUCCCCAUUUGUUUUGACAGCGCAAACGAAGGAAGCCUUAGCCACUUCUACUAGUGGUUGGGAACCUUCCCCUUUAGCACACAAAGCGAAACAACGGUUUAGGGCAUAAUAAUUAAGUAUUAGCUAAAAAAUCUUGAAAAAUAUAUUAAUACUAAAAGCAAUUUUCUUAUAAUUUUUUUUCAAAAACACUGUUUAGUAGUUUGGGAAACGUGUGUACGAAAAACGAGGAAAUAGAGGUUCGGUAAGUGUAGGGAAGAACACAACCUUAAUAAUUAUAUCCUAAAUUAUGCAUAUAGACCCCUAUUUGGAUAGCAAAAUUUUCAAAUUAGCCUUCCUCAUCUCAUUCCCUUGCUCGGUCGGUGAUCUGAACCAAAACUCUGGGUCGCAACCAACCAUCAAAAUAAAGGACGAUUUUGCAAAAUGUAUUAAAAUGAGAGCGUGUGUGUGAGAGAGAGAUAAUCACCGCCGUUGGAUCAAGCAGGAAUGGUUCAGAUGCCACUGCCCCAAUCCUUCCUGGCCAGUCGCCGCCUUACGCGGCCUUGCCGGAAGUCCAGCCAGGAGCACCGCCACAUUGUCGGAGCCACCACCUCCCCCUCCUUCCCGUCGUUCGUAGCACCCCUGCAUCUUCUCCCGGAUCCAUCAUCCUAUCUUCAUCUCCUUCCCGAACCUCUCCUUGACAAUGGAAGCAGGUGUCGAGUACAUAUCCUUAUAUAUUUACAUUGUUCAACAUUAUCUAAAAAAAAACUAUUUACAUUGUUCAAAUCCUUUAUAUUAUGAGACAAACAAAGUACUCAGUUAAGCGGAGAUGGCUGCUUGUUCAAAUCCUCAACGGGAGGUGGCUGCUUGCACCUUAAGCGGUAAUCCUUGAGCAUUUGUUGCCUUCUUCUCAGUUACUACUUGUUUGCUUUUGAUUUGUGUCGAUUAAUAAAUGGAGAAUUAAUCAGGUAAUGAUAAUUAAAAUAACCUUCUUAUAUUUUUUUUGCAAAAAAAAUAAUUGUUUAAUAAUUCAAGAAACGUGUGUGUGAAAAAUGAGGGAAAUGAGGGAGUAAAAAUUAGGAAGAUAAAGAGCCGAACACAUCCUAAACAUUGAUAACAACUACGCUAAUUAUGGUUCCACUGAUAAGCCGGAAAAAAAUACUAUACUAGUAAAUCUGUUAUGAACACAACACAAUGUAGAGAACACACAAGGCACGGGGUUUUCGCCUGAAAUUCCAUAUCUCCAUCUAACAGUCUAACAGACUGUACAUUUUAACUUGCUUCACGUUACAUGUUUUGUUUUGUACUACAUUGGUCAGUCAGACUAAUGCCUCCACGUCCAGUAUUGCCUGAACAUUAUGGACUUCUUCAACAAAAGAAACAAUGGUAAACUCCUACAGAAGAAACAAUCAAACAGUGUUUGCUCUUGAUUUGUGUCGAUUUUUAAGUUUGAAAUGUCAAGAUGCAGUAUACAGAUCAACUCCAGUUUCUGCCAACUUAAGAGCAUGCAGGAAACCUUGACAGAGAGCUCGUGUCCUGAAGGUAGCUAAA